UUGAUUCAUUCCCUCAUAAAAGGCAUUAAGACCAUGAUGGUGAAUGAAACCCUACAGGAGGGAGCGCUGAACACAUUGUUUACUUAAUGAGGUGUGGUACAUCGAAAAUGACUGGAAUCGUUGUUCCCUCGAUAUGCACGGCGUUCCCCGCAUCAUCAUUCACACUAAGGGAGGCCCCCAACGUCUUCACAGCCUUCACGUUGCAGGAGAAAUUCUCGUCUCAGAGGAGGAAGGGUUGCCAGUGCUUCCUCCAGCUUGACCUGGCUGACUUCUUCCUGCAGCCUUUUCAGAGAAAGUAAAAAACCCUUCAGUGGGAGUACCUUGGUGACCUCUCCAUCUACUCCUGCUCUUGUUACCACUGGCGGAGCCACAGAUGGUCCUUCUCCUUGAAAUACAACACAGCUUCAGUCUUAAUUUUUGUA